GACGAACGCUGGCGGCGUGCUUAACACAUGCAAGUCGAACGGUGAAGCGCCUUCCUUUUUGGUGGGUGUGGAUGAGUGGCGAACGGGUGAGUAACACGUGAGUAACCUGCCCCCUUCUUCUGGAUAACCGCAUGAAAGUGUGGCUAAUACGGGAUAUUCUGGGUCUGUCGCAUGAUGGGUCUGGGAAAGAUAUUGUUUCGGUGGGGGAUGGGCUCGCGGCCUAUCAGCUUGUUGGUGGGGUGAUGGCCUACCAAGGCGGUGAGGGGUAGCCGGCCUGGGAGGGUGGACGAUCCCACUGGGACUGAGACACGGCCAAGACUCCUACGGGAGGCAGCAGUGGGGAAUAUUGCACAGUGGGCGGAAGCCUGAUGCAGCGACGCCGCGGGAGGGAUGGAGGCCUUCGGGUUGUGAACCUCUUUCGCCAGUGAAGCAGGCCUGCCUCGUUUGUGGGUGGGUUGACGGUAGCUGGAGAAGAAGCGCCGGCUAACUACGUG
rnacentral:rRNA from 1 species